GUCGAGCGAAUCUUUGGGAGCUUGCUCCCAUUGGUUAGCGGCGGACGGGUGAGUAACACGUGGGCAACCUGCCUGUAAGACUGGGAUAACUUCGGGAAACCGGAGCUAAUACCGGAUAAUUCUUUUCCUCUCAUGAGGAAAAGCUGAAAGUCGGUUUACGCUGACACUUACAGAUGGGCCCGCGGCGCAUUAGCUAGUUGGUGAGGUAACGGCUCACCAAGGCGACGAUGCGUAGCCGACCUGAGAGGGUGAUCGGCCACACUGGGACUGAGACACGGCCCAGACUCCUACGGGAGGCAGCAGUAGGGAAUCUUCCACAAUGGACGAAAGUCUGAUGGAGCAACGCCGCGUGAGCGAUGAAGGCCUUCGGGUCGUAAAGCUCUGUUGUUAGGGAAGAACAAGUACCGGAGUAACUGCCGGUACCUUGACGGUACCUAACCAGAAAGCCACGGCUAACUACGUGCCAGCAGCCGCGGUAAUACGUAGGUGGCAAGCGUUGUCCGGAAUUAUUGGGCGUAAAGCGCGCGCAGGCGGUCCUUUAAGUCUGAUGUGAAAGCCCACGGCUCAACCGUGGAGGGUCAUUGGAAACUGGGGGACUUGAGUGCAGAAGAGGAAAGCGGAAUUCCACGUGUAGCGGUGAAAUGCGUAGAGAUGUGGAGGAACACCAGUGGCGAAGGCGGCUUUCUGGUCUGUAACUGACGCUGAGGCGCGAAAGCGUGGGGAGCAAACAGGAUUAGAUACCCUGGUAGUCCACGCCGUAAACGAUGAGUGCUAAGUGUUAGGGGGUUUCCGCCCCUUAGUGCUGCAGCUAACGCAUUAAGCACUCCGCCUGGGGAGUACGGCCGCA
rnacentral:rRNA from 1 species